GAUUCUAUCAACAAGAAUCGUGGAUUACCUACUUGUCCUGGUCCUCUGAACUAGCAUGAAGGUUAUCCUUAGAAAUAGCCUGUAUUCAUAAGUGUGGGACCCUUAUACUGAAGCUUCUGACCAGCCGGAUUGGAGACAAAAACCAGGCUCCAGUCAAAAAAAUAUGGGGCCUGCAAAGCAGAGCUGUGCUUCCUCGUUCAGUGCAGCUGGGAAGAGGGGACAGCGCCCAGCCACGCCUCGGCAGCUGAGCAGAGCCCGA